GAUGAAGAACGUAGCGAAAUGCGAUAAGUAAUGCGAAUUGCAGAAUUCCAGUGAGUCAUCGAAUCUUUGAACGCACAUUGCGCCCCUUGGUAUCCCGAGGGGCAUGCCUGUUCGAGCGUCAUUUCACCACUCAAGCCUGGCUUGGUGUUGGGCGACGUCCCCUUUGGGGACGCGCCUCGAAACGCUCGGCGGCGUGGCACCGGCUUUAAGCGUAGCAGAAUCUUUCGCUUUGGAAGUCGGGGCCCCGUCUGCCGGAAGACCUACUCGCAAGGUUGACCUCGGAUCAGGCAGGGAUACCCGCUGAACUUAAGCAUAUCAAUAAGCGGAGGA
rnacentral:misc_RNA from 1 species